AGAGCCGGCCAGACAGUCGCGUCGUCCCUUCGGGGGCGCCGAGGAAAGUCCGGGCUCCGCAGGGCACGGUGCCAGGUAACGCCUGGGCGGCGCGAGCCGACGGAAAGUGCAACAGAAAGAUACCGCCGAUGGCCCUCGCCACCCCAUUGCGGCCCGACGUCGCGCUCGACGAUGCGAAGCAUCGGCCGAGUCGGUGACGGGGAAGGCCGCAAUGGGGUGGCGAGGGAUCAGGCAAGGGUGAAAUGGUGCGGUAAGAGCGCACCGCGAGUCCGGCAACGGACCGGCACGGCAAACCCCACCGGGAGCAAGGCCAAAUAGGGAGACGAUGUCGUGGCCCGCGACGUCUCCGGGUAGGCUGCUCGAGCGUAUCGGCGACGAUGCGCCUAGAGGAAUGACUGUCCACGACAGAACCCGGCUUAUCGGCCGGCUCUGCCU
rnacentral:RNase_P_RNA from 1 species